UACGUAGGGUGCGAGCGUUUGUCCGGAAUUAUUGGGCGUAAAGAGCUCGUAGGCGGUCUGUCGCGUCGGUCGUGAAAAACUUGGGGCUUAACCCUGAGCUUGCGGUCGAUACGGGCAUGACUGGAGUUCGGUAGGGGAGACUGGAAUUCCUGGUGUAGCGGUGAAAUGCGCAGAUAUCAGAGGAACACCGGUGGCGAAGGCGGGUCUCUGGGGCCGAUACUGACGUGAGGAGCGAAAGCGUGGGGAGCGAACAGG
rnacentral:rRNA from 1 species